ensembl:lncRNA
GUAGAGUCCUGGUCAUCCUCAGGAUUUGCCUUCCAGAUGUACGGCUUCUCCGUCAGUCCUCCAGAUUCCUGGUCUGGAUCUUUGUUGGUAGAGUGAUGUCGUCCUCCAGAGUCUUGGCUCCUCCAUCAGCGCUCCUCAGCCAGAGUCCUGGUCUGGAACAAACAGCGCGAGUCUGGCCCCAACGUCUGGUAACAAACAUGUAGUUUUUCUUAAUUUUAAGCCCUUUAUUUCCACUUUGUUAGGUUAAUACAAACUCACAAUCCUUGUUGGUAGAGUGAUGGUCAUCCUCCAGAUUAACGGCUCCCCUACCAGCUCCCCUCUGCUCCAGAAACACGUUCUAGUAAGAAAACACAGCGGUAGUUUGUUAACGCAUGUCAAAGUAACAGCUUUAUUUUGCCCGUUAAGUCAACCAUGCAAGUAAAUACAAACUUACGAGGAAUCCUUUUUGGUUGAUUCCUAGUUGUCCUCCAGCGUCUCAGCUCCUCCGUCUGCUCUCCUCAGACAGAGUCCUGGUCUGGAACAAACAGCAGAAGUCUUGCUUCAAUGUGUGGUAAAACGGAUGUAGUCGUCUGGUAUAUUGGUACAAACACCGGUGGUUUGUGGUAGCAGUAUUCUACGAGAAGUGGCAGUGAGUGGGAUGGUCACUUCAGAGUCAGGCUCCAUCUACCCCACGACAGACAUCCUCCACCAGGCAGGGCCUCCAUCAGCACAGCUCCCCCACCAGGCAGGGCCUCCAUCAGCUCCUCCACCAGGCAGGGCCUCCAGCACGGCUCCUCCCCCAGGCAGGAACUUCAACACGGCUCCUCCAUCAGCUCCUUCAGCCAUGGAUACCUGGUCUGGUUACAAACACAGAAGUUUAAUACAUAUUUUUGUAAAGGAAAGCAGAGGAAAACAUUUUCCCAAAUUAAUCUCAUCAAAAUGACACCACCAUUCAGAAAGCAAAUGAAAAGGUUUAUGUAAAACCAGCAUUCCCUGACCAGCUCUGUCCCUGACUCUAAACCCUGACUCUCAACCCUAACGCUGAACCCUCUGAGGACAGGAAUACGCUCCUUCAGUGUAAAGGUUCAAGGAGACACUCCUUCAGAGUAAAGGUUCGAACCACGGAGAAGGAAGAAGGGGAAGGAGUAGAGAAGUAAUGAGGUUAGUGACAGACGUGAGGGAAAGGCGUGUGGAAGCACACGGCUACAUGUGGGGUCAAGAAGAUCACUCCCACUGGAGGUCAUUGAUACAUCAGCCUCAGACCGCUGAGCUCAGCAGGUUUUCUGGAGGAAGAGGCUCAGAUGAACUGAGGAGACGGGACCAGCAGGAUGUCCGGAUCAGGUGGAGUUCAGCUCAGGUGUGCCUGCCCCCGACCAAACAGGAUCAGGUGAGAUUCAGCUCAGGUGUG